rnacentral:lncRNA from 1 species
CUACCAUUUACCCAUGUUUGCAGGUUUGUAUUUAGCACUAAGACGUUUUUGUGUGUUUCAAUGUAAACAGGUUUUUGGAUGGAAUAUGUUUGUAUGUGGUGUUGGCGUUUGAAUGUAAGCAUGUAUUUAUGUGUAGUGUUGGUUUUUGAAUGCAGGGGUGUGUAUACAUAUAAUGUUGGUGUUUAACACAGACAUGUAUUUGUAUGUAGUGCUGAAGCUUGAAUGCAGGGGUGCAUUUGUAUGUAGAGUUAGCGUGUGAAUGUUCAGAUGUAUGCA